GCCAGUGUGAUGUAGUGGUUUGGGUGUUGGACUAUGACUCUAGAGACUAGGGUUCAAAUCCCUGCUCAGCUA